rnacentral:tRNA from 1 species
GGGGCCUUAGCUCAGCUGGGAGAGCGGCUGAAUCGCAUUCAGCAGGUCAUCGGUUCGAUCCCGAUAGGCUCCACCA